UAAGAUGGGGGAAAGAAGGGUGAUGAGAUGGGAGGGAGAGGGUGAUAUUGGGAAGAGGUAAAGAAUGGAUCUGAUGUCUGGAGAUAAAGAGAUGAAGGUGUGAAUCAUGGGGCAUAGACAGCAAAGUGAACCAUUAUGACAAAAAUCAAGUAGAAUGCAGAGCCAGGAAGAAGACAUCAAGUGACAACACAGCAGGGACUGAGAGCUGCUGAAGAAAUAAGUUCUUCCCCCCAUCUCUCUGGGGCUCCACAGCAGGCUAUCAACGCUUCAUCCCAAGAACACCUACAUGUGCCACAGCCAGCAUGAGGAGCAGUAAGUGAAGUCCCCUGCAGCUCCUGCAAUACAGGGGAGCCUUCCUCACCUAACAAAACUGAUGUCUCCAUCAAGGUGGGGGUCUCACACACAGGCUUUCUGGUGGCACAGCCUGUCUUAACAUGACUCCUAUGAGACUGACCUACCCAGGCUUGAUGCAUGCUUUUGACCUCCAUUGACACCUC